rnacentral:rRNA from 1 species
GCCUUACCACCCUGAAUGUGCCUGAUCUCAUCUGAUCAUGGAAGCUAAGCGGAGUUGGGCCUGGUUAGUACUUGGAUGGGAGACCGCCUGGGAUUAUCAAGUAC